GGGACUUUGGACGAGUUGGGGGAGCGCCCUGUAAUACCAAAGAAAAUGCCAGUUACCAACAUUGCAGACAACACCGAGGAACAAAUGGGCUUGAUUGAGAUCAACCCCAAGAUACACUUCACAAUAAGAAAUGAACCCAUUAGAAAUGAACUCAUGAGAAAUGACAAGGAGCUCAUGGUAUUUCAGGUUGAGUUGGAUCUUGGGAUUACCUGAAUCAAUCAGACCUGUCGUAUUCUCUGGGUAAUGACGUCCUGAGUUGCUGGCUUCCACUUUCUCUGAUUGUUCUUCACUCCUGUCCAAUACAAAUGACUGUGGAUGUGGAUGGAUUGUGUGUCUUCUGUAUAGAAGAUGCUCACACAGUGUGGAUCCCAUAGCCUGGUCUGUGAUGAUGGUUAUAUGGUGGCAAGACAAUGGGUUACAUAUGUGUGUCCCUUAAGGCAAUAAACCUCUCUACAUUCUCA